UGCAGUCGAACGGCAGCACGGGGGCAACCCUGGUGGCGAGUGGCGAACGGGUGAGUAAUACAUCGGAACGUGUCCUGUAGUGGGGGAUAGCCCGGCGAAAGCCGGAUUAAUACCGCAUACGCUCUACGGAGGAAAGGGGGGGAUCUCAGGACCUCCCGCUACAGGGGCGGCCGAUGGCAGAUUAGCUAGUUGGUGGGGUAAAGGCCUACCAAGGCGACGAUCUGUAGCUGGUCUGAGAGGACGACCAGCCACACUGGGACUGAGACACGGCCCAGACUCCUACGGGAGGCAGCAGUGGGGAAUUUUGGACAAUGGGCGAAAGCCUGAUCCAGCAAUGCCGCGUGUGUGAAGAAGGCCUUCGGGUUGUAAAGCACUUUUGUCCGGAAAGAAAACCUCCGCCCUAAUAUGGUGGGGGGAUGACGGUACCGGAAGAAUAAGCACCGGCUAACUACGUGCCAGCAGCCGCGGUAAUACGUAGGGUGCAAGCGUUAAUCGGAAUUACUGGGCGUAAAGCGUGCGCAGGCGGUCCGCUAAGACAGAUGUGAAAUCCCCGGGCUUAACCUGGGAACUGCAUUUGUGACUGGCGGGCUAGAGUAUGGCAGAGGGGGGUAGAAUUCCACGUGUAGCAGUGAAAUGCGUAGAGAUGUGGAGGAAUACCGAUGGCGAAGGCAGCCCCCUGGGCCAAUACUGACGCUCAUGCACGAAAGCGUGGGGAGCAAACAGGAUUAGAUACCCUGGUAGUCCACGCCCUAAACGAUGUCAACUAGUUGUUGGGGAUUCAUUUCCUUAGUAACGUAGCUAACGCGUGAAGUUGACCGCCUGGGGAGUACGGUCGCAAGAUUAAAACUCAAAGGAAUUGACGGGGACCCGCACAAGCGGUGGAUGAUGUGGAUUAAUUCGAUGCAACGCGAAAAACCUUACCUACCCUUGACAUGUAU
rnacentral:rRNA from 1 species